CAUGCAAGUCGAACGAUGAAGCCCUUCGGGGUGGAUUAGUGGCGAACGGGUGAGUAACACGUGGGCAAUCUGCCCUUCACUCUGGGACAAGCCCUGGAAACGGGGUCUAAUACCGGAUAUGAGCCUGGGAGGCAUCUCCCGGGUUGUAAAGCUCCGGCGGUGAAGGAUGAGCCCGCGGCCUAUCAGCUUGUUGGUGAGGUAAUGGCUCACCAAGGCGACGACGGGUAGCCGGCCUGAGAGGGCGACCGGCCACACUGGGACUGAGACACGGCCCAGACUCCUACGGGAGGCAGCAGUGGGGAAUAUUGCACAAUGGGCGAAAGCCUGAUGCAGCGACGCCGCGUGAGGGAUGACGGCCUUCGGGUUGUAAACCUCUUUCAGCAGGGAAGAAGCGAAAGUGACGGUACCUGCAGAAGAAGCGCCGGCUAACUACGUGCCAGCAGCCGCGGUAAUACGUAGGGCGCAAGCGUUGUCCGGAAUUAUUGGGCGUAAAGAGCUCGUAGGCGGCUUGUCACGUCGAUUGUGAAAGCCCGAGGCUUAACCUCGGGUUGGCAGUCGAUACGGGCUAGCUAGAGUGUGGUAGGGGAGAUCGGAAUUCCUGGUGUAGCGGUGAAAUGCGCAGAUAUUCAGGAGGAACACCGGUGGCGAAGGCGGAUCUCUGGGCCAUUACUGACGCUGAGGAGCGAAAGCGUGGGGAGCGAACAGGAUUAGAUACCCUGGUAGUCCACGCCGUAAACGGUGGGAACUAAGGUGUUGGCGACAUUCCACGUCGUCGGUGCCGCAGCUAACGCAUUAAGUUCCCGCCCGGGGGGAGUACGGGCCGCAAGGCUAAAACUCAAAGGAAUUUGACGGGGGGCCCGCACAAGCGGCGGGAGCAUGUGGGCUUAAUUCGACGCAACGCGAAGAACCUUACCAAGGCUUGACAUACACCGGAACACUC
rnacentral:rRNA from 1 species